rnacentral:lncRNA from 10 species
UUAACAAAGGGAAAAUGUGGUGUCCUGGUUGACCAGAGCUUUCCCUGAUUUAUUGUGAAACUGUUUAUCUCGGAGCUUUACUUAGGAUCACAUGCAGUCUGUCUACCUAUUACUACAUUGGACCUACUGACCUCAUUUUUUCAUUUCGUUGUCAUUGUUUUUGCUGUUUGUUCAUUCAUUUAUUGUUUCAGCAUUUAUAAGUGCUUGCUACAGUCUAACAACUAUUCUAGAUGUUAGAGAUGCAAUGUGAAAAUGAGUCCCAGUUCUUAUUUUGGAGAGGUUGUUGUCAAGUAGGUGAGAGAGAGAUGAGCAAACAAUACAGCCUGAUUGAGGAUGUGAUCAAGAUAUACUCAAGGUAGUAAGGAAUAGCAGAGGCAAGGCAGCUACCUAUCUGAGGUGGACAAGAAAGACUUUCUGGAGAGGUUAGUUGGGCUUGACUUAAUCUUGAAAAAAAAUAGGAGCUGGGCAGCAGGUGAAGAAAGAAAUCAAAGAGAAGAAUUCACAAAGCAAAGAGGCUGACACCCUGGAGCAUUUUGGGAAUCUACAAGAAUCUAACUAAGGAAGCAAGUCAUGUACUCGAAGAUAUGAAG